CUCUGGCCACGCUGGCCACCUCAACGUGGUGUCAGAGUCCAGUACCCCGUAUCAUCGGGGGAAGCCGAGAGCCAGC
rnacentral:ribozyme from 1 species